GUAAACAGUCCCGAGAACGGGUGCUUUAACUUAAUUCAAGGAAGGUUAUUCACUUGUAUUGGAGGUAGACAUCUUGGCAGAGACAGGAGUAUCGAUAACAUAUGAAUAGCCCGCUAACCACUUACGCCAGUGGCAGUAAAUAUGUCAUUACUGUCACGUGUUAUUCCAGCAAAGAGGCACAGGCAAGUGUUUUGUCAUCCAAGCAGGCAAAUGGAGUGGCUUCCUUAAGCUUCCUACUGGAUCGUUUUAUUAGAGAGAUUAGAGGACUGCACUGGAAGUGGAUCAAAUGACAAAGAAAACGAACAAAAAAAAAAAAAAAAAUGAACCCACAAGUCCUCCAACAAACCACAAAGAGGAGUACAGAUGCCUUGUCACAAGCCAGUCAGGCCAUUCUUGAGAAUACUGCCCAAGGACAAUAGAGGCAAUAUCGGUGGACACUAAGAUGUUAAAACAGAACAACAAUGGUGACAAGUACCAAGAUCCAGGGUUGGAUCCGUACCGGGUGUGACGCCAAACCAAAUACAAGGCAUACAUAAUAUGAUAUGAUAUACAAUAUGAUAUUGUGCACUGUGAAGAAAAAUACACUGAAAGGCACAUGUGGGUGGCGAAAAAAAUAUAUAUAUUUGUUGGCU